GCGUGCGAGCACUCACCUCUUUUUUGCCUGUUUACUGUUGGAGUUCAAAGCCUAACAGGCCGUGAAAUUACAUUUCCACUCUCGAAGACCAGGUCAUCUCCCCAGUACUUCACAUCAAGACAGGAAGCCAAACAAAUAGACAGAUUGUGAUUUUAAUUACCUCGUGUGAUUCCGUCCUCUACCUGCUCGUUCGUCUACGUGCCCGUAGAGUGAAAAAAAGUCAGAGUCAGGCAAAACGAAAGUGUCGAGAAACUAUAGGUUUCGAAAGGAAAAGCAGGAGCAAGGCAGAGUCCGACCGUUUAAACCCCAGCACCCCUUUGACUCUGUCGUCUGGGCCCUUCAGAGUGAUUUGUUUUGAGCUACCAGGUCUGAGGCAAACAACGGCGUUCACCUCCAACAGAUUACCAGAGGUCGUUCGGAACAGUGGCGAAAAAAGAACCGACGGAGAAUAGAAAUAAGAGUUCCUUUUACCCCUCUGAGGCCCUCCAACCUCUGUUUUGACCUUCUCCUCACUGCCAUAACAAGUCAGCACUGCAGCUGUCUCCACGGUUCCACAGGUGUGUGCGUGUGAGGGGGGUGGUCCCCUGUGGAGCCCUACAGACUCUAAGAGCAGGGACAGGUUGAAAAACAAGCAGGAUGGAAGCAGAUCCCUGGUGGAGGUGCUAAGCAGUCAAUGGAACUGGAAUUCAGCAGAUGCUGUGUUUAAUGUGUUUCUGUUUACCGGGCUGCUGGAAAUAGCCAUGUCAUCAGUCUGAAAUGACCCUGUCACAUUCACUGGCACUGUGUCCUCUUAAAGCAACAGUUCUCACUCUCAAACAUGUCUAAAAGCCAUUAAGACAGUUUAACUUCGGUGCAGUUUGUAAAGUACUUCAGCCAUUUUAAGUAUUUGC